rnacentral:rRNA from 1 species
AACGAACGCUGGCGGCAGGCCUAACACAUGCAAGUCGAGCGAGGACUUCGGUUCUAGCGGCGGACGGGUGAGUAACGCGUGGGAAUGUGCCCUUCUCUACGGAAUAGCCCUGGGAAACUGGGAGUAAUACCGUAUACGCCCUAUUGGGGAAAGAUUUAUCGGAGAAGGAUCAGCCCGCGUUGGAUUAGGUAGUUGGUGGGGUAAUGGCCUACCAAGCCGACGAUCCAUAGCUGGUUUGAGAGGAUGAUCAGCCACACUGGGACUGAGACACGGCCCAGACUCCUACGGGAAGCAGCAGUGGGGAAUCUUAGACAAUGGGGGCAACCCUGAUCGAGCCAUGCCGCGUGAGUGAUGAAGGCCUUAGGGUUGUAAAGCUCUUUCAGCUGGGAAGAUAAUGACGGUACCAGCAGAAGAAGCCCCGGCUAACUCCGUG